rnacentral:rRNA from 1 species
GAUGAACGCUGGCGGCGUGCCUAAUACAUGCAAGUCGAGCGAACAGACGAGGAGCUUGCUCCUCUGACGUUAGCGGCGGACGGGUGAGUAACACGUGGAUAACCUACCUAUAAGACUGGGAUAACUUCGGGAAACCGGAGCUAAUACCGGAUAAUAUAUUGAACCGCAUGGUUCAAUAGUGAAAGACGGUUUUGCUGUCACUUAUAGAUGGAUCCGCGCCGCUUAGCUAGUUGGUAAGGUAACGGCUUACCAAGGCGACGAUGCGUAGCCGACCUGAGAGGGUGAUCGGCCACACUGGAACUGAGACACGGUCCAGACUCCUACGGGAGGCAGCAGUAGGGAAUCUGCCGCAAUGGGCGAAAGCCUGACGGAGCAACGCCGCGUGAGUGAUGAAGGUCUUCGGAUCGUAAAACUCUGUUAUUAGGGAAGAACAAAUGUGUAAGUAACUAUGCACGUCUUGACGGUACCUAAUCAGAAAGCCACGGCUAACUACGUG